AAGGGAUACAAGUGUCAGGAAUUUAAUUACGGAAUUUUCCAUUGUAUCACCUUUGUCUUGAUUCUGAUCCCGCUGCUACUGUUGGCUUUCUAGAGCUUGGUCAAGACUGGUGAAUCCAAGAACCCUGGACGUUGCUGUUGCCGCUGGGUCACGCUUGACAUCAUUACUGCACUAACAGCAGCAGCAAGGCUGAUAAAAGGUGUAUCCACUGUUUGGACUAUGUGACUUGGUGAGCUGCAAUUUGGCUUGGAUUACAGUAUUUCAGAAGGCUUUUUGAACUUACCAGGCAACCCUCUCCCUAAACUUUGGGGACAGAGGAGCUUAAAUUUAUAUUUCCA
rnacentral:lncRNA from 12 species